AGAGUUUGAUCAUGGCUCAGAGCGAACGCUGGCGGCGGGCUUAACACAUGCAAGUCGAACGGGCGUAGCAGUACGUCAGUGGCAGACGGGUGAGUAACGCGUGGGAACAUACCUCUUGGUUCGGAACAACACAGGGAAACUUGUGCUAAUACCGGAUAAGCCCUUACGGGGAAAGAUUUGUCGCCGAGAGAUUGGCUCGCGUCUGAUUAGCUAGUUGGUGGGGUAAAGGCCUACCAAGGCGACGAUCAGUAGCUGGUCUGAGAGGAUGAUCAGCCACAUUGGGACUGAGACACGGCCCAAACUCCUACGGGAGGCAGCAGUGGGGAAUAUUGGACAAUGGGCGCAAGCCUGAUCCAGCCAUGCCGCGUGAGUGAUGAAGGCCCUAGGGUUGUAAAGCUCUUUUGUACGGGAAGAUAAUGACGGUACCGUAAGAAUAAGCCCCGGCUAACUUCGUGCCAGCAGCCGCGGUAAUACGAAGGGGGCUAGCGUUGCUCGGAAUCACUGGGCGUAAAGGGUGCGUAGGCGGGUUUUUAAGUCAGAGGUGAAAUCCUGGAGCUCAACUCCAGAACUGCCUUUGAUACUGAAAGUCUUGAGUAUGGGAGAGGUGAGUGGAACUGCGAGUGUAGAGGUGAAAUUCGUAGAUAUUCGCAAGAACACCAGUGGCGAAGGCGGCUCACUGGCCCAUAACUGACGCUGAGGCACGAAAGCGUGGGGAGCAAACAGGAUUAGAUACCCUAGUAGUCC
rnacentral:rRNA from 1 species